AAUGGAAUAAUUCAAUUAAACUUUGAACAACUGAAAUCAAAGCCAAAGAGAACAUGACCCUUAUAUCAUCUCUGUCAGAGAAAAAGAAACUGCUGAAAUAAGAUCACUUGCACAAGAACUAGGCAAAAGUUACCACAGUUCCUUAAUCGGAAGAAUUAACUACUGGAAUUAGAAUACUGGAAGAAGAACUGGAAUUAGUCACCUUCAACAAAUCAAGUCAAUUUGGCAAUACAGGAGACAACCAGCGGCAAAGGAAAAUGUUUGGGAAAAACCAGUCUCAUUUAGAUUUAGAAGCCCUCAAGCUGGGGAAUGUUAGAAAAGAAUUUGGGGAGAAUGCAGCUACUUCCAUUACCACUUUUGAAAUCUCCUCAAUGAUGCCUUCAUUCAGCAGUUGAGGAAGAGUUUCACUUUGACUGAGAAGACGUUUCCAUGUUCUUAAGGUAAAAAAGUUGUUACUGCUGUACUGGUUUGGAGUAUCCCCAGAGCCUUCCAGAAUGCUCCUUGAAAGAUGUUCUGCUCUUUACUGGGGUUCAGCAAAUAAAGUUCAGGACUGAGGGCUUUUUUCUUUUUUU
rnacentral:lncRNA from 1 species